rnacentral:rRNA from 1 species
AAUAGAUACCCAGGUAGUCCACGCCGUAAACUAUGGAUGCUAGCUGUUACCAGUAUCGACCCUGGUAGUAGCGAAGCUAACGCGUUAAGCAUCCCGCCUGUGGAGUACGAGCGCAAGCUUAAAACAUAAAGGAAUUGACGGGGACCCGCACAAGCGGUGGAGCGUGUUGUUUAAUUCGAUGGUAAGCGAAGAACCUUACCCAGGCUUGACAUCCUGCGAAUCUUGCCGAAAGGCGAGAGUGCUUUAUUGAGCGCAGUGACAGGUGUUGCAUGGCCGUCGUCAGCUCGUGUCGUGAGAUGUUUGGUUAAGUCCAUCAACGAGCGCAACCCUUAUAGUCAGUUGAAUUUCUCUGGCUAGACUGCCCUGGUAACAGGGAGGAAGGAGGGGAUGAUGUCAGGUCAGUAUUACCCUUACGUCUGGGGCUACAAACACGCUACAAUGGCCGGUACAAAGGGCAGCCAACCCGCGAGGGGGAGCAAAUCCCAUCAAAGCCGGUCUCAGUUCGGAUAGCAGGCUGAAACUCG